UACGGAGGGUGCAAGCGUUGUCCGGAUUUAUUGGGUUUAAAGGGUGCGUAGGCGGCUAUUUAAGUCAGUGGUGAAAUGCCGCAGCUCAACUGUAUGAACUGCCAUUGAUACUGGAUAGCUUGAGUUCAGGCGAGGUAGGCGGAAUUGAUGGUGUAGCGGUGAAAUGCAUAGAUAUCAUCAAGAACACCGAUUGCGAAGGCAGCUUACUAGACUGAAACUGACGCUGAGGCACGAAAGUGCGGGGAUCAAACAGG
rnacentral:rRNA from 1 species